rfam:Eubacterium sp. 14-2 genomic scaffold acPFD-supercont1.3, whole genome shotgun sequence.
AUAAUGAGACUUCCGUAAUUCGCGGCCCGGCUACAAUGAAAGCGGGGAGAUGAAAUUUCUAUGG